AGGUGACGAUCUUUUCGGGGCGGAACCAAAAGUCGGGAAACUUUGGUUCCGCCCGGAUGUUUCCGCCCAGACCGGAGAACGGAAACACCGGACAUCCGGCAGCUUCGCGAAGGCUGUAAUCAGCCGAUUGAGCACAGCUGUGCCUAGUUAAAGAGAUCGCCGGGCAAUUGGACAACUGGAGUACAUGAAGGAGUAUUUAAAGCACAGUUAAAUCACAGUUCGGGAGUUCGGGCACGAGAGGGGGAUUGACACGGGGAAAGCUCCUCUGCUUAAUGCAGAAAAAGUAACUACGUACCUUUUGAAGAGCCCGCAGGCUCUGUUGAUCCGGGCUGCGCUUGGAGCGCGCGGAAAGAAGACAGGAGCUGCCUGGGGUGAAAGAAAGGCGAUACGUGGGUGGAGAAAAGGAGCACCCCGAAGAGAGCAUUGUGCUGACAAGUCGUAGUGUGUGUUGAGGAACGGAGCUGUGCUCAUUGUUAGACGUGGUGGCUGUCUGUAUUUUCUGUUCUCUCUCUCCCUUUCUCGUUGUAGUUUACGGUGGACCUGCUGGAGUAAACGGAAAACCCUAUGGGUAAAAAGGAACUUUGGUCUAACCAGCACUUUUGAAGGAGUAAAGUAGGAAGAAAAUUGACCUUGUUGUACAACGUAAACGAAGGCCAUCCGCUGUGAGUAUACCUUUUUGGUGUGGAGUAACUUACAGAAAUUAACCUGUGUAACCGUUGGAAACCUCCAGGAGAAGGAGGGCGGCCCUACCCCUACAAUAGUGUGGUGGGCGAGCCGUUAGAAGUGUAAAUCCAAACAGCCACAGCAACGAGACUUUAUUUUGGUCGUAUUUCCAUCGCCCCUAUCUCAGCCCAAGCGCAGUGGAGGACACCGGGCGUUUCCCUUGUUGUGUUGCACGUAUAGUGUGAGUCAGAGGCGAAAGGGUCCGCCGCCCCCGCGGUCUCUACAAAGGGGCGCCCCUGUCCAGGAUUCGAUCGCCCUACGUGCAGUGGAGAUAGGGCAGCGCUCGACCCGGCGAGGUGGUGUGUGACCUUCGCCCCUCUGCUGACCUACGGAGGAAACCAUACCUACCCAGAGAGAGCUGUAAACAGCAGAACCGCGGCCACCUGUGGAGAGAGAGAAGAACGAGAGUGAAUAAUUGAAGAACAGACUGUGAACGUGAUACCUACCCAGAAAGCUGUAAACAGCAGAGCCGGUGAGAAAUACUCGAAGUCUCAGUAACAGUGUCUUUGUGUCCUAGCGGCCACCUGUGGAGAGAGAGAAGAACGAGAGUGAAUAAUUGAAGAACAGACUGUGAACGUGAUACCUACCCAGAAAGCUGUAAACAGCAGAGCCGGUGAGAAAUACUCGAAGUCUCAGUAACAGUGUCUUUGUGUCCUAGCGGCCACCUGUGGAGAGAGAGAAGAACGAGAGUGAAUAAUUGAAGAACAGACUGUGAACGUGAUACCUACCCAGAAAGCUGUAAACAGCAGAGCCGGUGAGAAAUACUCGAAGUCUCAGUAACAGUGUCUUUGUGUCCUAGCGGCCACCUGUGGAGAGAGAGAAGAACGAGAGUGAAUAAUUGAAGAACAGACUGUGAACGUGAUACCUACCCAGAAAGCUGUAAACAGCAGAGCCGGUGAGAAAUACUCGAAGUCCAAGUAACAGUGUCUUUGCGUCCCAGUGGCCGCCUGUGGAGAGAAAGGAAAACGAGAAUGAACAUGAGGAGAGUGGACUGUGUGAAGAUACAGUUGGUGGUGGAGGAGAGCCUAGAGUGGCCAUUAUUUUAAGUUCCCCGUUUUCCCUUCCCUAUAUAUCUUUUUAAGUAAAUUAAAUAAAGUACCUUUUUAAUAUUAUGCUUACCUUGUGUGUCUGGUCAUUGGGGUGGCUUUGGGAAUCUCCUCAAGGUGGAGAAAGGGGCGUGACCUUAUUUACAUCUGGGUCCACCCCUACCUGUGACAGAUUUGGCGUAGUCGGCAGUCCACCUCGGGUUGAGACCAAGGUCCCCCAAUGGCCUACCACAUUUUUUUAAGAUCAGCUCCCAUCACCGCUCUAUCAGUCCCCAAACAACGCGUUCUCGGGACGAGAACGGAUUGGCGGGGGAGGAUGUCACAAGGUGACGAUCUUUUCGGGGCGGAACCAAAAGUCGGGAAACUUUGGUUCCGCCCGGAUGUUUCCGCCCAGACCGGAGAACGGAAACACCGGACAUCCGGCAGCUUCGCGAAGGCUGUAAUCAGCCGAUUGAGCACAGCUGUGCCUAGUUAAAGAGAUCGCCGGGCAAUUGGACAACUGGAGUACAUGAAGGAGUAUUUAAAGCACAGUUAAAUCACAGUUCGGGAGUUCGGGCACGAGAGGGGGAUUGACACGGGGAAAGCUCCUCUGCUUAAUGCAGAAAAAGUAACUACGUACCUUUUGAAGAGCCCGCAGGCUCUGUUGAUCCGGGCUGCGCUUGGAGCGCGCGGAAAGAAGACAGGAGCUGCCUGGGGUGAAAGAAAGGCGAUACGUGGGUGGAGAAAAGGAGCACCCCGAAGAGAGCAUUGUGCUGACAAGUCGUAGUGUGUGUUGAGGAACGGAGCUGUGCUCAUUGUUAGACGUGGUGGCUGUCUGUAUUUUCUGUUCUCUCUCUCCCUUUCUCGUUGUAGUUUACGGUGGACCUGCUGGAGUAAACGGAAAACCCUAUGGGUAAAAAGGAACUUUGGUCUAACCAGCACUUUUGAAGGAGUAAAGUAGGAAGAAAAUUGACCUUGUUGUACAACGUAAACGAAGGCCAUCCGCUGUGAGUAUACCUUUUUGGUGUGGAGUAACUUACAGAAAUUAACCUGUGUAACCGUUGGAAACCUCCAGGAGAAGGAGGGCGGCCCUACCCCUACAAUAGUGUGGUGGGCGAGCCGUUAGAAGUGUAAAUCCAAACAGCCACAGCAACGAGACUUUAUUUUGGUCGUAUUUCCAUCGCCCCUAUCUCAGCCCAAGCGCAGUGGAGGACACCGGGCGUUUCCCUUGUUGUGUUGCACGUAUAGUGUGAGUCAGAGGCGAAAGGGUCCGCCGCCCCCGCGGUCUCUACAAAGGGGCGCCCCUGUCCAGGAUUCGAUCGCCCUACGUGCAGUGGAGAUAGGGCAGCGCUCGACCCGGCGAGGUGGUGUGUGACCUUCGCCCCUCUGCUGACCUACGGAGGAAACCAUACCUACCCAGAGAGAGCUGUAAACAGCAGAACCGCGGCCACCUGUGGAGAGAGAGAAGAACGAGAGUGAAUAAUUGAAGAACAGACUGUGAACGUGAUACCUACCCAGAAAGCUGUAAACAGCAGAGCCGGUGAGAAAUACUCGAAGUCUCAGUAACAGUGUCUUUGUGUCCUAGCGGCCACCUGUGGAGAGAGAGAAGAACGAGAGUGAAUAAUUGAAGAACAGACUGUGAACGUGAUACCUACCCAGAAAGCUGUAAACAGCAGAGCCGGUGAGAAAUACUCGAAGUCCAAGUAACAGUGUCUUUGCGUCCCAGUGGCCGCCUGUGGAGAGAAAGGAAAACGAGAAUGAACAUGAGGAGAGUGGACUGUGUGAAGAUACAGUUGGUGGUGGAGGAGAGCCUAGAGUGGCCAUUAUUUUAAGUUCCCCGUUUUCCCUUCCCUAUAUAUCUUUUUAAGUAAAUUAAAUAAAGUACCUUUUUAAUAUUAUGCUUACCUUGUGUGUCUGGUCAUUGGGGUGGCUUUGGGAAUCUCCUCGAGGUGGAGAAAGGGGCGUGACCUUAUUUAC